GUAGAGGAGAGCGAAGGGUAAUUACUUUAUUCCCUUCAGUUGCAUCAAUUUGUACCAAGACAGAGUCAGAAUGACUGGCAUUGGGAUUCCGUACAUUAUACAAUCGCCGUCCAGGUCUGGCCACAGGGAUAUUUGCAACUUCUGUAUAUCCAUGAGGUACUAAGGCAGUGCAUAAGUGAAAAGAAUUCCAAAUAUUAAUUUGCCAAUGUUUCUCUAUAACAAUCAUUAGUACCUCAAAAUAAUGAAGAGU
rnacentral:lncRNA from 1 species